GAGCCUGAUGUGGGGCUCGAUCCCAGAACGCCGGGACCACGCCCUGAGCCGAAGGCAGACACUUAACGACUGAGCCACCCAGGCGCCCCCAUAACCAAUGUUCUGAAUGUUCACCAUGUGCCAGACACGUAUGAGUCACCAGUGACACCAGGGACACUACCUGGGACACUACCCUGCCCUGCCAGUGUGCUGGCCCUGGCCACUCCACCCGGUGCUGGAAAGACCCAGUUACUGAACCUCAAACGGUAGAGGAGAUUUCCAUUCUGCCCUGACGGAGGCAUCCGGGAGACAGAUGAUCUGGAAUGGGGGCCAGGGGGUUGGAGAUGAAGAGAAGUCGACAGGUUCAGGACAACCUCCAGGGGAUUGUAUAUCGCUGAGGUCGAGAGCUCGGACUAGAGAGGCAGCCUGCCUGGGUUCGUCAUCCUGGCCCUACCCCUGUGUGACACGGCUGUAUGACGUUGGGCAAGGUACUGAAUCUUUUCUGUGCCUCUUUCCCCGGGGUGAAAAGUGGGGGUAAUAAUCAGUGACGAUAGGCUUGAUAACCCCAAGUUUCCAUGAUUUAAUAAAGGUAUAUUUCUCAAAGCCA